rnacentral:rRNA from 1 species
UACGAAGGGGGCUAGCGUUGCUCGGAAUUACUGGGCGUAAAGGGCGCGUAGGCGGACAGUUUAGUCAGAGGUGAAAGCCCAGGGCUCAACCUUGGAAUAGCCUUUGAUACUGACUGUCUUGAGUUCGGGAGAGGUGAGUGGAAUGCCGAGUGUAGAGGUGAAAUUCGUAGAUAUUCGGCGGAACACCAGUGGCGAAGGCGACUCACUGGCCCGAUACUGACGCUGAUACGCGAAAGCGUGGGGAGCAAACAGG